UGGGUUGUGGCUCAGUGGUAGAGCACUUGCCUAGUCAUGCAUGAGGCAGCACUGGGUUUGAUCCACAGCACUGCAA
rnacentral:tRNA from 1 species